AGAUUAAGCAAAAAAGAGCGCAGGGUGGAUGCCUUGGCACUAAGAGCCGAAGAAAGACGUGAUAAGCUGCGAAAAGCUGCGGGGAGAUGCAAAUGAUCCUUGAUCCGCAGAUGUCUGAAUGGGGAAACCCGGUACGAAGAACUCGUAUCAUCCAUACGCCAAUCCAUAACGUAUGGAGGGGAACCCGGUGAACUGAAACAUCUAAGUAGCCGGAGGAAGAGAAAGAAACAUCGAUUUUGUUAGUAGCGGCGAGCGAAAGCGAAAGAGGCCAAACCGGAGUGCGUGCACUCCGGGGUUCGGACCGCAUUUAAGAUUCAGUGAUUCUAGCAGAAAGGUUUGGGAAAGCCUGCCGGAGAGGGUGAAAGCCCCGUAAGCGAAAGGAGAGCUGACUGAGCGGGAUCCAGAGUACAUCGAGACACGAGAAACCUUGAUGGAAUGAGCGGGGACCACCCCGUAAGCCUAAAUACUACUUAGUGACCGAUAGCGCAUAGUACUGUGAAGGAAAGGUGAAAAGGACCCCGGGAGGGGAGUGAAAGAGAACCUGAAACCCUGUGUUUACAAGCUGUGGAAGUUCUUUAAAUGAACAACCGCGUACUUUUUGUAGAACGGUCCGGCGAGUUGCGGAUACUGGCAAGGUUAAGCACUUAAGGUGCGGAGCCGAAGGGAUACCAAGUCUUAACAGGGCGUUAAGUCAGUAUACGCAGACCCGAAACCGGGUGAUCUAUCCAUGUCCAGGUUGAAGUUGUCGUAAAAGACAAUGGAGGACCGAAGCCACAUCCGUUGAAAAGGGUGGGCAUGAGGUGUGGAUAGGGGAGAAAUUCCAAUCGAACCCGGAGAUAGCUGGUUCUCCUCGAAAUAGCUUUAGGGCUAGCCUCGAUUUAGUCUUAUGGAGGUAGAGCACUGAAUUUCCGCGGGGGCGUCAAAGCUUACCAAAGAAUAUCAAACUCCGAAUGCCAUGUAGAUGAUGAUCGGGAGUCAGACUGCACGAGAUAAGUUGGGCAGUCAAAAGGGAAAGAGCCCAGACCACCGGCUAAGGUCCCAAAGUGCGUGUUAAGUGGAAAAGGAUGUGGGAAUUCGAAGACAACUAGGAUGUUGGCUCAGAAGCAGCCAUACAUUCAAAGAGUGCGUAACAGCUCACUAGUCGAGAGUUCCUGCGCCGAAAAUGUCCGGGGCUGAAACACGACACCGAAGCCGUGGACUCGCAAUGCGAGUGGUAGAGGAGCAUUCUUAAGACCGACGAAGCUGUACCGGAAGGAGCAGUGGAGGGAUAAGAAGAGAGAAUGCCGGAAUGAGUAGCGAGAGAAAGGUGGGAAUCCUUUCGGCCGAAUAUCUAAGGUUUCCAGAGUAAAGCUGAUCUGCUCUGGGUAAGUCGGGGCCUAAGCACAGGUCGCAAGACGUAAGCGAUGGAUAACAGGUUUAGAUUCCUGUACCACGCAUUAUCAGAACUGUAGGGACGCAUGUGGAAAGCACGAGCCGGGAAUGGAAAGACCGGUACAAGCGAGGUAGGUGUACAAUAGGCAAAUCCGUUGUAUGAUCCGAAGACGUGAUGUGGAGCGAAAUAAAGUAGUGAAGCGUGUGAGCCAUGUGCCGAGAAAAG
rnacentral:rRNA from 1 species